rnacentral:ncRNA from 1 species
GCACGUCCCCCGUCUUUCCCAACGGGGCAGCUAACUGUAAGGCGGUUGGCGGCUGGUGAUUGUGGGCAUAGUCUGGGCAAUGCUCUUUUCUCAAGCUCCGUGCGAGCAGUUUUUCUCGCUAUGGCGUAUUUUAUCUCCGGCUGCACAGGGGCAGACUUAUGGCAUUAUUCUUACACCUCCUUUUCAGUGGCGGUAUUCUCAACACUCCCAACGACUUAUAAAAGUCUUAACGUGUUUCCGACACUCGGAAUAAAUUGCAUUUAUCCCGUUCCGUAAAUUUGCCUACUUGCGUAGGUUAGCAAUAUUGGUAUUAUUGCCUGAUUGCGAAGCGUGGUUAUUUAACGCACCCUUUAAGCGUUCCAAGACGCACAACCCAUUCUAUCAACGCAAUGCGCAAUAGUUGCUUUUCCGAGGGGCAAUGAUAUCUUCCGACCCUAAACCCUCUUUUUUU